CAUGGAUAAAUGCAGUUAUUUACUCUUGCAAUGGGUUCUAAGUCAAACCCUCAGCUAGGUCAGGGAGUAGUUAUGAACAGCCUACUUUUGCCCCAGGACCUUAAGAAGUCUUGCUCUGGGAUCGGCCGCCUACCGGAAAGUCGUGUUCUCAGUGCCCAGCGCGGUCUUAGAACAGCCUCUUCCCAAAUCUCAGCGGCGGCCCCGCCCCUUCCACAGGUUCAGGCCCCGCCCCUCCCUGCUAUUGGCUGUCCCUCCCAUUUGCUCGACCGCUCUCAGGACCCGGAGGAGCGGAGUUUUCUAAGGCAGCCUCCGAGCGCCCUCGCUGCGCAUGCUCGGGGGAGGCCGAUUCCGGGUCCGGAGUUGGAGGCUUUGGGCUGUCGCGGCGUCGCGCGCGGUGCCGGGGCCGGCGGGGAGGCGCGCGCUCGGGGCGCGGCGCCGGCGACGCUGCCACGCAGCGCGCUCCCGAGGAAGGGAGGUGUGGGGUCGCCUGGGGGUGGCGCGUGGCCGGGGUGGGGGUGGGGGGAGGGUCGGGUGUCGGCGAGCUCGGCGUGCGGGUUCCGAGUGUCUGAGGCGGCCUGGGCUGCCGGGGCCGACGCCUGGGUGGCUGCCGCCGCCGCGCCUGCUAAGAGAUGGCGAUCUUGGGCGCGGAAGGGUGAGGGCGCCCGCCGCAGGAGGAGGUGUCCCUGCCGUGGCCGCCCGGCUGCCGGGAGCCGACAGCUUCGCGCCGGAGACUGA
rnacentral:lncRNA from 13 species